GAUGAACGCUGGCGGCGUGCCUAAUACAUGCAAGUCGAGCGAACGGACGAGAAGCUUGCUUCUCUGAUGUUAGCGGCGGACGGGUGAGUAACACGUGGAUAACCUACCUAUAAGACUGGGAUAACUUCGGGAAACCGGAGCUAAUCCCGGAUAAUAUUUUGAUCCGCAUGGUUCAAAAGUGAAAGACGGUCUUGCUGUCACUUAUAGAUGGAUCCGCGCUGCAUUAGCUAGUUGGUAAGGUAACGGCUUACCAAGGCAACGAUGCAUAGACGACCUGAGAGGGUGAUCGGCCACACUGGAACUGAGACACGGACCAGACUCCUACGGGAGGCAGCAGUAGGGAAUCUUCCGCAAUGGGCGAAAGCCUGACGGAGCAACGCCGCGUGAGUGAUGAAGGUCUUCGGAUCGUAAAACUCUGUUAUUAGGGAAGAACAUAUGUGUAAGUAACUGUGCACAGCUUGACGGUACCUAAUCAGAAAGCCACGGCUAACUACGUG
rnacentral:rRNA from 1 species